UACGGGAAGGGCAAGCGUUAUCCGGCGUGACUGGGCGUAAAGAGUCCGUAGACGGUAAAGUAAGUUUAUUGUUAAAUGUUAAAACUUAAUUUUAAUAGAGCAAUUAAAUACUGCUUUACUUUGAGUUUAAUAUAGAAAAGUAGAAUUUUAUAUGGUAGGGUGAAAUCCGUAGAUAUAUAAAGGAAUGUCAACAGCGAAGGCAACUUUUUGGUAUAAACU
rnacentral:rRNA from 1 species